UAGGGAAUCUUCCACAAUGGACGCAAGUCUGAUGGAGCAACGCCGCGUGAGUGAAGAAGGCUUUCGGGUCGUAAAACUCUGUUAUUGAAGAAGAACGUGUGUGACAGUAACUGGUCAUGCAGUGACGGUAUUCAAUCAGAAAGUCACGGCUAACUACGUGCCAGCAGCCGCGGUAAUACGUAGGUGGCAAGCGUUGUCCGGAUUUAUUGGGCGUAAAGCGAGUGCAGGCGGUCUUUUAAGUCUGAUGUGAAAGCCUUCGGCUUAACCGAAGAAGGGCAUCGGAAACUGGGAGACUUGAGUGCAGAAGAGGAGAGUGGAACUCCACGUGUAGCGGUGAAAUGCGUAGAUAUAUGGAAGAACACCAGUGGCGAAGGCGGCUCUCUGGUCUGUAACUGACGCUGAGGCUCGAAAGCGUGGGUAGCAAACAGGAUUAGAUACCCUGGUAGUCCACGCC
rnacentral:rRNA from 1 species